rnacentral:rRNA from 1 species
CCUACGGGUGGCAGCAGUGAGGAAUAUUGGUCAAUGGGCGAGAGCCUGAACCAGCCAAGUCGCGUGAGGGAGUACUGCCCUAUGGGUUGUAAACCUCUUUUGUCGGGGAGCAAAAGCCGGACGUGUCCGGCUGUGAGAGUUCCCGAAGAAAAAGCAUCGGCUAACUCCGUGCCAGCAGCCGCGGUAAUACGGAGGAUGCGAGCGUUAUCCGGAUUUAUUGGGUUUAAAGGGUGCGCAGGCGGAUGUUUAAGUCAGCGGUAAAAUCGUGGGGCUCAACCCCAUCCAGCCGUUGAAACUGGGGAUCUAGAGUGUGCGAGAGGUAUGCGGAAUGCGUGGUGUAGCGGUGAAAUGCAUAGAUAUCACGCAGAACCCCGAUUGCGAAGGCAGCAUACCGGUGCACAACUGACGCUCAGGCACGAAAGCGUGGGUAUCGAACAGGAUUAGAUACCCCUGUAGUC